rnacentral:lncRNA from 1 species
UAAAAUCAUCCAAAUAAUUAGUGACCAGCAUCAUUUGCGAUCAACACCUCACCAUCGUACCGCACACAACACCGUCAUCAGCCACCACGAAUUCCAGAGCCAUCCACCACCUUAUGACAAUCGAUCAACACCAUUGCAUAUUGCUAGAGCCAGCACCACACCGUCAACACCACAUCACAUAGCACAUUGCACUCAAGCACAGCAUCGUACGACCAUCGCAUACAGCACUACAAUUGCACACCACAAUCACGUCGCACAACACAUCUCAACCACCAUUGCACUCACAAAACCAACACACCAUCACCAUCACCUCACCAUAGUACCACAACCAAACAGUCAAUCACCGCACCACUCAAAAAUUGAAAAAGAAAAAAAAAAGAAAAAAAAAAGAAGAAGAAUGAAUUUAUGUCGUGCGUUGAAGGAAAGCCAUCACUGCUGCACCGUGAUGAGUCAUCGUAGUGAGUGUCCCUAUGCAGUGACGACUACUAUGGUCUCUUGCUUUGGUCUUCGACGAUAGUCUUUCAUGUGUUAAAGAGAGAGAAGGGGUCGAUGCUGUAGCGUCGAUGGUGACGGUGCUCUAGUGGUGGUGUGUGGUAAUGAGACGGAGGGAGGGAGGGAAACGGAAAAAUAUUAGGGUUUGGGAGAGAUAUUUGAUGGGGUGGAUGGAAGUGGGGUGAGUACAUAGAUCAAUUAAAUAUUAUAAUAUUAUUAAUUAUUAAUAUUAAAAUGUGAUUUUUGUAU